AAGACUAUACGUUCAGGGAUCAUUUCUAUACUUUCUUACUAGGAAAUGUAAUUGGAAAGUAUUACGUCUCUAAUCAUCAUGAUGAUGAUGAGAUAUGAUGUUCUCUUCUGAGCAACUGGGUUACAGUUAAUGCUUUAUAUGAGCUAUAAUCCUUGAUGAAUAUUCUACAUUCCUUAAGAUAAGGAGAGUACGUGACCAGAGUUAU